rnacentral:rRNA from 1 species
CCCGCUGAACUUAAGCAUAUCAAUAAGCGGAGGAAAAGAAACUAACAAGGAUUCCCCUAGUAACUGCGAGUGAAGCGGGAAGAGCUCAAAUUUAAAAUCUGGCGUGCCUCUGGCCGUCCGAGUUGUAGUCUGGAGAAGCGUCUUCCGUGUUGGACCGUGUAUAAGUCUCUUGGAACAGGGCGUCAUAGAGGGUGAGAAUCCCGUCUUUGACACGGACUACCAAUGCUUUGUGAUGCGCUCUCAAAGAGUCGAGUUGUUUGGGAAUGCAGCUCAAAAUGGGUGGUAAAUUCCAUCUAAAGCUAAAUAUAGGCGAGAGACCGAUAGCGAACAAGUACCGUGAGGGAAAGAUGAAAAGCACUUUGGAAAGAGAGUUAAACAGUACGUGAAAUUGCUGAAAGGGAAACGCUUGAAGUCAGUCGUGUCUGCCAGGACUCAGCCUUGCUUCUGCUUGGUGUACUUUCUGGUCGGAUGGGCCAACAUCAAUUUUGACCGUUGGAGAAAGGCUUUGGGAAUGUGGCGCCUUCGGGUGUGUUAUAGACCUCGAUUCGGAUACGGCGAUUGGGAUUGAGGAACUCGGCGCUCUGCGUCCAGGAUGCUGGCAUAAUGGCUUUAAGCGACCCGUCUUGAAACACGG